CCUACGGGAGGCUGCAGUGGGGAAUAUUGCACAAUGGGCGCAAGCCUGAUGCAGCCAUGCCGCGUGUGUGAAGAAGGCCUUCGGGUUGUAAAGCACUUUCAGCGGGGAGGAAGGCGUUAAGGUUAAUAACCUUGGCGAUUGACGUUACCCGCAGAAGAAGCACCGGCUAACUCCGUGCCAGCAGCCGCGGUAAUACGGAGGGUGCAAGCGUUAAUCGGAAUUACUGGGCGUAAAGCGCACGCAGGCGGUCUGUCAAGUCGGAUGUGAAAUCCCCGGGCUCAACCUGGGAACUGCAUUCGAAACUGGCAGGCUAGAGUCUUGUAGAGGGGGGUAGAAUUCCAGGUGUAGCGGUGAAAUGCGUAGAGAUCUGGAGGAAUACCGGCGGCGAAGGCGGCCCCCUGGACAAAGACUGACGCUCAGGUGCGAAAGCGUGGGGAGCAAACAGGAUUAGAUACCCCUGUAGUC
rnacentral:rRNA from 1 species